rfam:Brassica oleracea var. oleracea cultivar TO1000 chromosome C8, whole genome shotgun sequence
UUUGAGGGGACUGUUGUCUGGCUCGAGGACUCUUAUUCUAACUCAAUCAAGUUUUAUAAAAUCUGUUUGAUUUGAUGAUUGAUUAGGGUUCUAGUGUCUUCGGACCAGGCUUCAUUCCCCCCAAU